rnacentral:rRNA from 1 species
AAUAGAUACCCAGGUAGUCCACGCCGUAAACGAUGUCGACUUGGAGGUUGUUCCCUUGAGGAGUGGCUUCCGGAGCUAACGCGUUAAGUCGACCGCCUGGGGAGUACGGCCGCAAGGUUAAAACUCAAAUGAAUUGACGGGGGCCCGCACAAGCGGUGGAGCAUGUGGUUUAAUUCGAUGCAACGCGAAGAACCUUACCUACUCUUGACAUCCAGAAAACUUAGCAGAGAUGCUUUGGUGCCUUCGGGAACUCUGAGACAGGUGCUGCAUGGCUGUCGUCAGCUCGUGUUGUGAAAUGUUGGGUUAAGUCCCGCAACGAGCGCAACCCUUAUCCUUUGUUGCCAGCGGUCCGGCCGGGAACUCAAAGGAGACUGCCAGUGAUAAACUGGAGGAAGGUGGGGAUGACGUCAAGUCAUCAUGGCCCUUACGAGUAGGGCUACACACGUGCUACAAUGGCGCAUACAAAGAGAAGCGACCUCGCGAGAGCAAGCGGACCUCAUAAAGUGCGUCGUAGUCCGGAUUGGAGUCUGCAACG